UGAGAGGAGGAGAGAGAUCUCUGCAUGACCUAAAGAAAAAGCCAUGUGAAUUCAGUGAGAAAGCAGCCCUUUACAAGCCAGAAGAGAGAUUCACCUGAAACUGAAAUCACCAGGACCUUGUUCUUGGAUUUUCCACCUUCCACAAUAGAAAAUUACAGCGGUUUGGAGAGAAGUGUAAAAACAGCAGAAGUCUUGGGAACCAGAUGGCUGAUACUAUGAGAAGUUCAACACUGUCAAAAACCCAAUGAACCUCACCUAACCUGUCCAUGAGUGGAGCUCUGAGGGACUCUGCAGCAAACUGACCCAAUGAACUAAAUAAAAGUUAUGGCACAUUCUACAGGUCUGACUUAGUCCCUUAAAGGAAUGAGUGUCCUGGGGACAGAUAACUUGAGUGAAUACAAUAUCCUGCAUUGAACAGACAGUUGGAAACCAACCGUGAGCAUCACUACACAUUCAGUGGCACAAACAAUGUUACACUAAAGUGACUAGAUGUGAUUUCAAGAACAAGUUCCUCAUCAAAAUCA